CCUACGGGUGGCAGCAGUGAGGAAUAUUGGUCAAUGGACGAGAGUCUGAACCAGCCAAGUAGCGUGAAGGAUGACUGCCCUAUGGGUUGUAAACUUCGUUUAUAGGGGAAUAAAAUGUUCCACGUGUGGGAGUUUGUAUGUACCAUAUGAAUAAGGAGCGGCUAACUCCGUGCCAGCAGCCGCGGUACUACGGAGGAUCCGAGCUUGAGCCGGAGUGCUUGGGGUUAACGGGAGCGUUGGGGGAUUGUUAAGUACGUUGUGUAAGUUGGCGUCUCAACCGUACAAUUGCAGUUGAAACUGGCAGUCUUGCGUCCUGUAGAGGUGGGCGGUCUUCGUGGUGUCGCGGU
rnacentral:rRNA from 1 species